AAUUAAGUUUAAUUAAAACCCCUUAAAGGUUAAAGGAAAGGAGAAUGGUAGUCGGCCAUAGGGUGGGUGGGUUUGGCCGUCGGUCGACCGUGUAAAAAAACACGACGAUCCCGAUUGGGAUCGGAGAGACCGGAAUUAAUAAUAAUGAUGAGAUCAAAGAAAUGAUAAGGUGGAGCUAGGGAUAAUUAACUAAAAUAAUAGUGGUAAUUAAGACACCUUCCGAAACUGCGGGAGCUAGUGUAUUAAUUUCCUUAGUAUAUGUGCGUUGUUGUAUAUUUAGGUUUUCGUUGACGGAUUCAGGAGAGAGAGAGAGAGACUUUUUCCGAUUGUUUUGGAUAAAAUAGAGGUUCAAAUGGAGGUUAAAGGUUGAGCUGUUGUGUGACCGACUACACUAGAGAGAGAGAAAUAUGGACAAAACUUUUAGUUGAGUUUUAGCGGUAUUUAAAGAUGGGUACGUAUUUCAUCAUGUUAGGGAUAUAUAUAUAUAUAUAUAUAUAUAUAUAUAUAUAUAUAUAUAUAUAUAAUAAUUAGAGACUAAUGAAAUAUAAAAUAAUAAAUAAUUUUAACAUAUUUAUUGAACCAAUCUCUAUAAAUAUGCGCUACAUUGAUGUGAAAUGGACAGUAGAAUUCCGCUAAUCUUUGCACGCUCAACUGUCAUGCUUCUGUCUGGCAGAACCUAACCUAUGGGACAUACAUACAUACAAAAGUAUUCGAUUAGCAUGAAGUUUAUUUUUUUAAUAAAUUGAUUAAUUGGUCAAUAAAAUAUUAACACACAUAAAAUUUCACCUGCGUAUUAAUACUAUAUCAGUCAAUCGACCAACUUAUUUAAAAAUAAACUUCAUAAUAAUCACUCCCCAUACAUAUAUGCUCGUAACUAGCUAGCUCGCUCUACGUAACUUACUCAAUAAUGCUAC
rnacentral:lncRNA from 1 species